rnacentral:rRNA from 1 species
AGCAGCCGCGGUAAUUCCAGCUCCAAUAGCGUAUAUUAAAGUUGUUGCAGUUAAAAAGCUCGUAGUUGAAUUUCGGGGUCAGUAGGUCGGUCGUGCCACUGGUAUGAACUGGUUUUACUGAUUCCUCCCUCUUGAAGAACUGUAAUGCCAUUAAUUUGGUGUUGCAGGGAAUCAGGACUGUUACUUUGAAAAAUUAGAGUGUUUAAAGCAGGCUUUAGCUUGAAUACAUUAGCAUGGAAUAAUGAAAUAGGACGUUUGAUCCUAUUUUGUUGGUUUCUAGGAUUGACGUAAUGAUUAAUAGGGAUAGUUGGGGGCAUUAGUAUUCAAUUGUCAGAGGUGAAAUUCUUGGAUUUAUUGAAGACUAACUACUGCGAAAGCAUUUGCCAAGGAUGUUUUCAUUAAUCAAGAACGAAAGUUAGGGGAUCGAAGACGAUCAGAUACCGUCGUAGU